GAUGAACGCUGGCGGCGUGCCUAACACAUGCAAGUCGAGCGAUUUACUUCGGUAAAGAGCGGCGGACGGUUGAGUAACGCGUGGGUAACCUGCCCUGUACACACGGAUAACAUACCGGAAGGUAUGCUAGUACGAGAUAAUAUACUUUUAUCUCAUGGUAGAAGUAUCAAAGCUUUUGCGGUACAGGAUGGACCCGCGUCUGAUUAGCUAGUUGGUAAGGUAACGGCUUACCAAGGCGACGAUCAGUAGCCGACCUGAGAGGGUGAUCGGCCACAUUGGAACUGAGACACGGUCCAAACUCCUACGGGAGGCAGCAGUGGGGAAUAUUGCACAAUGGGCGAAAGCCUGAUGCAGCAACGCCGCGUGAGCGAUGAAGGCCUUCGGGUCGUAAAGCUCUGUCCUCAAGGAAGAUAAUGACGGUACUUGAGGAGGAAGCCCCGGCUAACUACGUGCCAGCCGCCGCCGUAA
rnacentral:rRNA from 1 species